AUAAAGACAGUCGGCCGUAUCAUUUUAUAGUACGCUAUACAAAGUUGUAUUUGUAUAGCUUCCUUUGUUUUUGGCUGCGUACGUUGCAGACCUCGUUAAUUUGUUAAACUCAGUGCUUGUUGUAGCUUUACUCGAUAAGUUUAUUUGGUAAAUUAUUUCGUCCUGAAUAUUUAACCUCAAAUCUCACGAAAACUUAUUUUUUAAUCACUUCGGAGCCAUUUCCAAUGCAAUAUGUUAUCUCGCUUUGCAAGUAUGUUUUGAGUCUGGAUAUCUGGUAAAUGAAGUAAGUUGUAUCGUGAAAAUGUGUUAAUAUAAUGUCUUGGCUAUAAUGAGUGAAUAAAUGCACUAAUUUUCGUUUUAAUCGAGCGUUUUAGAGCCACGUACAAGACUCGCGUACUUAGGGUUAAUACUAAGUACUGACAGACAUGACGUCUCAUACAGGAAGGGGAAUUAGCUCAAAUGGUAGAGCGCUCGCUUAGCAUGCGAGAGGUAGCGGGAUCGAUGCCCGCAUUCUCCAAUGUUUUUUUUUUUUUCGCUGUUCGAAAAUUUUGGCCCACAGGUGCGAUGGAAAGGAAGUAGUCCGGCUCUCGUUUGCAACGCAGGGCGAGCAGCACAGGACCGACUGCAUACAGCAGGUUGAGAAGGAGGAUGGGCACCAGGACCGAGGUGAAGCGCCAAUUUUUUUCAAACCAGCUGUCCCGACUUCACGAUACUGCAUGACGUUCGAAGCUUCAAACAUCAUCAAUCCCGUGGUGUGGUGAUGGCCUGUAACUGCGUUCCAGUCGGGGUGUUCUGCCUUCGUUUAUGACUGCAGUGCGACAGCUGUUUCCAAUUUCAUUUUUUUUUGGUUAAUUUUUCUUCCUUGGCUGCUUUAUAUUGUUUUGUCUGCUCUUUUCAGUUGUAUCAAUAUUUUUAUUUUUGUUUCUGAAGUUUGAAUUGUUUUGUUUUCAAUUCUAAUUAUAUUUUUGUGAUUUUUCUUUAGUUUGUUCCUGCUUCUUUCUUCAGUUGCAUUAGUUUUGUUUCAAGCAAUUAUUUAUUUGUUGAUUCAGUGGUUGUAAAAUUUGAUUUAUUUGUUUAUUGUUCUUUGACUGGCUGAUUGAGAACAACCCAGUUUCAAAGUGACUGUUUAUUUGAUGCAUAUAUCAUCUUUGUCUCAGCAGGGCCUGAGCACCAGGGGCAGAGGACUGGUUUUUAGGUGGUGGUAUCUGUGUGAUUUGUCUUAAUAUUUGUUUGUGAGUGUGUGUUUGUGUACACAGUGAAGUGCAGUGAUUUACCUACAGGUGGUGUGGUCUGAUUAUCCGCUUUUUUUACUGGUAAGCUCUAGUCCCUGGCCCUCGACUUGUUCUAAAAACCCUUAGUGGCCCGUUUGGCUGGAACAAACGUUUCAUUAUUUUAAUAUUGUUUUUAACAGAGAUUUGUCAAUAAAGAGAAUUUUUGAAUUGUUACCCAUGUUUCUGACUCUAAUUGGUGAUACGAAUCUGUGUAUGCCUCUGUAGGUGGUCUAUUCUAAUCCUUUGGGUGAAAUUCCCAUCGUGGUGUAGUCGGAGUGAGACUGAUAUCUUGUUAGUUUCCCAUUGUAUUUAAAGGUCCCGUUUUUCGUGGUUUUUGAAGCUUUGAUUGUGUUUCUAGUG